UACGGGGGGUGCGAGCGUUGUCCGGAAUCACUGGGCGUAAAGGGCGCGUAGGUGGUUUGAUAAGGGUGUGGUGAAAGCCCGGGGCUCAACCCCGGGUCUGCCGUGCCGACUGUCAAACUCGAGGGCUGUAGAGGCAGACGGAAUUCCGGGUGUAGCGGUGGAAUGCGUAGAGAUCCGGAGGAAGACCGGUGGCGAAGGCGGUCUGCUGGGCAGUUUCUGACACUGAUGUGCGACAGCGUGGGGAGCAAACAGG
rnacentral:rRNA from 1 species